CGAAUACGAGACGCUACGGCGUCGAAGUAGUGUAUGUCAUACUUCCAAGAAAAGCUUGCACUGUCAUAAUAAAAAAUGCCUGUACCAUAACCGACACAGGUGGGUAGGUAGAGUAUACUAAGGGGCGCGAGAUAACUCUCUCUAAGGAACUCGGCAAAAUAACUCCGUAACUUCGGGAGAAGGAGUGCCUUAUUUAAAUAAGGUUGCAAUAACAAGAUCCAAGCAACUGUUUACCAAAAACACAGGUCUCCGCUAAGUCGUAAGACGAUGCAUGGGGGCUGACGCCUGCCCAGUGCCUGUAGGUUAAAGAAGUUGGUUAGCAUCUGCGAAGCUGGUAACUGAAGCCCUGGUGAACGGCGGCCGUAACAAUAACGGUCCUAAGGUAGCGAAGUUCCUUGUCGGGUAAGUUCCGACCCGCACGAAAGGCGUAAUGAUUUGGAUACUGUCUCGGAGAGGGGCUCGGUGAAAUAGACUUGUCUGUGAAGAUGCGGACUACCUGCACCUGGACAGAAAGACCCUAUGAAGCUUUACUGUAACUUGAAAUUGAAAUUGGACUUUAUUCGCGCAGUAUAGGUGGGUGGCGUUGAAAAUACUCUUGCGGGAGUAUUGGAGCUAUCAGUGAGAUACCACUCUUAUAAUGUUAGAUUUCUAACUUUGAACCAUUAUCUGGUCAAAGAACAGUUUCAGGCGGGCAGUUUGACUGGGGCGGUCGCCUCCCAAACGGUAACGGAGGCGUACAAUGUUUCCUCUGAACGGAUAGAAAUCGUAUCUAGAGUAUAAAGGCAUAAGGAAGCUUGACUGUGAGACCUACAAGUCGAGCAGGGACGAAAGUCGGUCUUAGUGAUCUGACGGUACUGAGUGGAAAGGCCGUCACUCAACGGAUAAAAGUUACUCUAAGGAUAACAGGCUGAUCUCCCCCAAGAGUUCACAUCGACGGGGAGGUCUGGCACCUCGAUGUCGGCUCAUCGCAUCCUGGGGCGGUAGUACGUCCCAAGGGUUGGGCUGUUCGCCCAUGAAAGCGGUACGCGAGCUGGGUUCAGAACGUCGUGAGACAGUUCGGUCCAUAUCCGGUGUAGGCGUUAGAAUAUUGAGAGGAGCCUUCUCUAGUACGAGGGGACCGAGAAGGACAUACCUCUGGUGUACCAGUUAUCGUGCCAACGGUAAACGCUGGGUAGCUAUGUAUGGAGUGGAUAACCGCUGAAAGCAUCUAAGUGGGAAGCCCACCUCAAGAUAAGUAUUCUCAU
rnacentral:rRNA from 1 species